UACAGAGGUCUCAAGCGUUGUUCGGAUUCAUUGGGCGUAAAGGGUGCGUAGGCGGCGCGGUAAGUCGGGUGUGAAAUCUUGGAGCUUAACUCCGAAACUGCAUUCGAUACUGCCGUGCUUGAGGACUGGAGAGGAGACUGGAAUUUACGGUGUAGCGGUGAAGUGCGUAGAUAUCGUAAGGAAGACCAGUGGCGAAGGCGGGUCUCUGGACAGUUCCUGACGCUGAGGCACGAAGGUCAGGUGAGCAAACGGG
rnacentral:rRNA from 1 species